AGGGAGCUGCUGUCUGAGGAGGAAACUGCAUCUUCGCGGGCCAGCUACGAGAGGAUCUGGGGUCGCGCUGGGCGCCCGACGGACCCUCCCCAGGGACUCGCCUGCCCCACACCGCCCGGCCUUGCCCGGCGCUCCGCGUCAGGUUCCCCAGCCGCAGCCUUACCUACGGGCUCCAGAAUCCUCAGGGCUUCCAGAGGAUGCUCAGCCCACCGACGGGGACCUCGGGGCAGCAGUGAGGGGGGCACCCAGCCCCCCAUUCAGCUCCUGUCCUCUUGGGCCGGGGGCCUCCCCGGGGGGAAGAGCAUGGUGGUUUUCCCUUGGAGCCCCCUGGCUUGGUACGUCUGAGCAGAUGCCUGCCAUGAGGCUCUUCACUUGCUUCCUGCAGCUUCUGGCUGGGCUGGCACUGCCGGCUGUGCCCCCCCAGCAGUGGGCCUUGUCUGCUGGGAACAGCUCAUCGGAGGUGGAAGUGGUGCCCUUCCAGGAGGUGUGGGGCCGCAGCUACUGCCGGGCGCUGGAGAGGCUGGUGGACAUCGUGUCUGUGUACCCCAGUGAGGUGGAGCACAUGUUCAGCCCGUCCUGCGUCUCCCUGCUGCGCUGCACCGGCUGCUGUGGCGACGAGAACCUGCACUGUGUGCCCGUGGAGACGGUCAAUGUCACCAUGCAGCUCCUGAAGAUCCGCUCUGGGGACCGGCCCUCCUACGUGGAGCUGACAUUCUCUCAGCACGUGCGCUGCGAGUGCAGACCUCUGCGGGAGAAGAUGAAGCCAGAAAGGUGCGGUGAUACUGUUCCCCGGAGGUAACCAGCCCCUCGGAGGAGAGAGACGGAGACCCCACGCCCGGCUCGUGUAUUUAUUACCGUUACACUCUCAGUUACCUCCCUGCUGGCACCUGCCCUCUAUUUAUUAGCCAAGUGUAUCCCUGCUGAAUGACUCACUCCCUUCAAGAUGAGGGGCAGGAAGGGACAGGACCCUCAGGAAUUCAGUGCCUUAAACAGAACGUGAGAGAAAGAAAGAAGACAGAUCCACGCGUGCGUCAUCUGGGGAAGAAGCAAGACUUGUGGCUUUGUGAGGGGCGUGUCACACCCCAGAGGCCUGAGGGUCUCCAGGGUGCUGGAGAGGGAGGGACGGGGGGGACAUGCCACCUGUCCCCAGGGCCUUGGGCUCUGCCGGGACCAGCAGCCCUUGCCUGGGGAGCUCCCUGCCGGGAUGAGGGUGGAGGAGCCUUCUCUGGCCGCCGUGGCCCCUGCCGGGAGGGCGGGCAAGCAGCAGCCCCGCGCCCUGGAGACAGGAUGUUCAGCUCUGGAGACCAGUGGUUGCCUGGGGGCCUUUGCCACUCCUUGUCCCCUAGGUCUCGCCUCAUAUCUUACCACCGCUUGUGCUGGGACAUUGCUCUUUAUGCCAAGGCAUCCCCACCUGCCCCUCUCGGGGACGCAGGCAGAGAGGGCCCAGGCUGGUCAUGGAGCAAGCUGUCCCCGCGAGGCCGUCUGACCGCCAAGCCAGAUUCUCUUGAAUAAAGUACUCUAGUCUGGAAGCGGCUUUCCAGGGGAGUGAGUGUGACCACGAGAGCAGAGGGCAACAGCGGGAAUGGGAGCAGUACGGGACAAAAAGGAACCGUGGGCCGCAAGGCUGCCCAUGGCCCGGCUCCAGCCUGCCCCUGCCCUUCCCUGGCCUUCUUCUUCCAGCUGCUUUAGGCACCACCCUGAGGCCCAUGCCUCCCAGAAAGAGGGUUUCCUAAGAUGGAGCCUUGGCCCCAAACUUGGGGGCACCUGACCCCGGUCAACCCCAAACACUCUCAAAUUCAAGAACAUGGUCCCGGAGUUCCCGUUGUGGCACCGCGGAAACAAAUCCGACUAGGAACCAUGAGGUUGCGGGUUCGAUCCCUGGCCUUGCUCAGUGGGUUGCGGAUCCAGCGUUGCUGUGAGCUGUGGUGUAGGUCGCAGACGCAGCUCGGAUCCCAAGUUGCUGAGGCUGUGGUGUAGGCCAGCCCCUGCAGCUCUGCUUUGACCCCUAGCCUGGAAACCUCCCUAUGCUGUGGUAUGGCCCUAAAAAGCGAAAAAAAAAAAAAAAAAAAAAAAAAAAAA
rnacentral:lncRNA from 1 species